rnacentral:tRNA from 1 species
GUAAUUGUAGCUUAAUUAUUAAAAGCAUGGCACUGAAGAUGCCAUGAUGGGAGAACCUCCUCCCCAAAAACA